GAUGAACGCUAGCGGCAGGCCUAACACAUGCAAGUCGAGGGGCAGCACAGGAAAGUAGUAAUACUAUUGGGAGGCGACCGGCGCACGGGUGCGUAACGCGUAUGCAACCUGCCCGUCACAGGGGGAUAAUCCGGAGAAAUCUGGUCUAAUACCCCAUAACAUAUGGAUCGGCAUCGGUUCAUGUUGAAAUUUUAGGAGGUGACGGAUGGGCAUGCGUAGUAGUAGCUUGUUGGUGAGGUAACGGCUCACCAAGGCGACGAUGCUUAGGGGGACUGAGAGGUUUUCCCCCCACACUGGUACUGAGACACGGACCAGACUCCUACGGGAGGCAGCAGUGAGGAAUAUUGGUCAAUGGGCGCAAGCCUGAACCAGCCAUGCCGCGUGCAGGAUGACGGCUCUAUGAGUUGUAAACUGCUUCUGUACGAGGGUAAAGUGGGUUACGUGUAACCUUUUGAAAGUAUCGUACGAAUAAGGAUCGGCUAACUCCGUGCCAGCCGCCGCAGUAA
rnacentral:rRNA from 1 species